rnacentral:rRNA from 1 species
UACGGAGGGUGCAAGCAUUAAUCGGAUUUAUUGGGCGUAAAGGGCGCGUAGGCGGAUCGACAAGUCAGAUGUGAAAUCCCGAGGCUCAACCUCGGAACUGCAUUUGAAACUAUCAAUCUAGAGGGUAGGCGGAGAAAACGGAAUUCCACAAGUAGCGGUGAAAUGCGUAGAUAUGUGGAAGAACACCGGUGGCGAAGGCGGUUUUCUAGCUUAAACCUGACGCUGAGGCGCGAAAGCAAGGGGAUCAAACAGG